rnacentral:sRNA from 1 species
AUCCACUCGCUCCAGGCGACAAUUGAUAUGGCUAACCUGCUUGCUUCAGGGGCAUAUCAGCUCUGUAGCAAUGGCGACAUUAUUUGUUGCCAGGAGUAUCUCUCAUCUCUCUACUUCCAGGCACGAAUUCAAUUCAUACAGCGCAAAGCCAAUGCCUAGUAUCUGGCUGAUCAGAGUACCCCUGGCGACUUCUGCCAGUUACUAUCAUUUUCCGCCUUUUGAAUAAUAGAGCAGAGCAUCUGUCGUUUGUCGUGACCAUAGUUUGCCAUGUAACGUGCAGCUCAAAAGCAGUAGGUCGGGCCAGUGCCAGAUGUAGAGGGUUAUGAACUUAUCAUAACAUACAACUUCCUCCUCGCCAUGUGAAGAUUAGCUAUCGCCAAUAUAUCAACCAAGACGCAUGUAACAAAAUCUCCAUUUUCUCUGAACCAGCCCAUCCACAUCAAAAACAAAAUUCAGCCCCCUACCGACGCUCUCAUGCCGAUAGCUCAAUAUCCAACUCCUUAAAAGUAACCACCAGCUCACCACCUUCCUUCGCCGGCUUCGCCGCAUACACCCCAGCCCAACACUCCGCAACCCUCUCCUCGUCCGCAAAUGCCCAGGUAAUCUGACGAAUCCGUCUUCUCUCCCCGCCCUCAACUAAAUAAAUCCACAAUGACGUAUCCUUCUCCCGAGCCAUCUCAAUCCGCGCACUGGCGCCCGCCCCUUCCCCAGGCGUCAGCGGAAACAGACUCCAAUCCGCCCACUGAUCCUUCGCCACGACGCUAACAUGCGGCUUGUCGUCGACAAACUCGAUGCCAGCCUUGACCCACUUCUGCGUCCCGUCGGCGCCGUUCAUGACCAGAAUCAGCCCGCCCUGGUCGUAGAGAGUCGCCCACUCGCCAUGGAUGUGUACGCUGGAUCGCUGGAAGCUGG